UACAGAGGGUGCGAGCGUUGUCCGGAAUCACUGGGCGUAAAGGGCGCGUAGGCGACCCCGUAAGCGUGCGGUGAAAGCCCGGGGCUCAACCCCGGGUCGGCCGUGCGAACUGGGGGGCUGGAGCCGAUCAGAGGCAGGCGGAAUUCCGGGUGUAGCGGUGGAAUGCGUAGAGAUCCGGAAGAACACCGGUGGCGAAGGCGGCCUGCUGGGGUCUUGGCUGACGCUGAGGCGCGACAGCGUGGGGAGCAAACAGG
rnacentral:rRNA from 1 species